UUCUGGUUGAUUCUGCCAGUAGUCAUAUGCUUGUCUCAAAGAUUAAGCCAUGCAUGUCUAAGUUCACACUGUUCCACGGUGAAACCGCGAAUGGCUCAUUAAAUCAGUCGAGGUUCCUUAGAUGACACGAUCCUACUUGGAUAACUGUGGCAAUUCUAGAGCUAAUACAUGCUUACCAAGCUCCGACCCUCGUGGAAAGAGCGCUUUUAUUAGUUCAAAACCAAUCGUCGUUGCCCUUCGCGGGGUGACGGCGUCCCCACUGGUGACUCUGGAUAACUUUGUGCUGAUCGCAUGGCCUCACGUGCCGGCGACGCAUCUUUCAAAUGUCUGCCCUAUCAAAUGUCGAUGGUACGUGACAUGCCUACCAUGUUUGUAACGGGUAACGGGGAAUCAGGGUUCGAUUCCGGAGAGGGAGCAUCGGAAACGGCUACCACAUCCAAGGAAGGCAGCAGGCGCGCAACUUAGCCACUCCCGGCACGGGGAGGUAGUGACGAAAAAUAACAAUACGGGACUCUUUCGAGGCCCCGUAAUUGGAAUGAGUACACUUUAAACCCUUUAACGAGGAUCUAUUGGAGGGCAAGUCUGGUGCCAGCAGCCGCGGUAAUUCCAGCUCCAAUAGCGUAUAUUAAAGUUGUUGCAGUUAAAAAGCUCCUA
rnacentral:rRNA from 1 species